rnacentral:lncRNA from 1 species
AUUAUUUUUAAUAUAUGAAUUUUUAUUAACCAAUUUCAUAUCUUCAUUAAUCAAUUUUUUAAUUUUUAUUAACCAAUUUUGUUUUACUACUUAAAAUUAUUUUUGAUAUCUGAGCAUUUAUUAAUCAACUUCAUCACUUCAUUAACUGAUUUUUUAUAUUUUAUUAACCAAGUUUGUUUCACUACUUAAAGACAUUGUUUACGGGCAUUAU